GUAUUUUGUCUUGCGUAGCAGUGAAUGUCUGCAUCUUUAAUAGAAAUGAUUUAUAAAGAGGAUUUGGAACAUGCUGACUUCACAAUGAAGAAGCUCCACUCCCAGAGGAGCCGUUAACCCAGACAGCCCAGUCCCCGCUCCCCUUGCAAUCACACAAACUCCAACUGUUCUACCAGCAAGGCCAAGACGGACGCUGAGCCUUUCAGAGAAGCUGAAGCAUACAGGCAUCUCUGCCGACUCCCCACAGUGUUCAGAUGGAUGAAGAAAUGGAGGCCCCAAAAGAAAUUUUUAAUAAAACAACUUUUGUAAAUUCCACGAGAUAAAAGGAUGUGGAACACAUGGAACUCAAAAUGUAUCACUGAAAUUCUCAUGCAAGUGUUCUAGUCCAAAGAGAGAAGAGAAAUGAGAAGAAAUAAGAAGGAAAAAGGAGGUCUGACCAUCGGACCAUUAUGAAAGCGUGAUUCUGGGAAGAAAGUGUGACAGCGGUUCAACAGUACACAGACUUGGGGGAUGAGUUAGAGUGAUGCUGAUAGAAGCUGAUACUAGAGUUUGUUGCUUUCUACAUUUCUGAUACCUAACAGACAACAAGGAAGAGCUGGCAUCCUGGAACAUGGAGGAUAACAGAGAUAGAAGUGGUGGAAUGGUGUCUUUCAAAGACCACAAGAUACAAAUAUAAAUAAAUGGUUUAUUCCCCAGGAACUGAAAGAACUAAAUAAACUGAAAGGAGAAGAACAGCACUGAAAUGCACACACCCAACAGAACACAUUUUAUUUUUCCACUUAAGAUCAGAAGAGCAGGGUCAAUCUUCAAUCUUUGGCUUGCCUGGUCUAUAAGAAGAAAAAAGUUCAAGUGGCAAAACUCAGUCUAUCCUGAGUAUCUUUUCUUUUAAUCUCGUCUCCCUUCUUCUUUCAAUAUUAAUCCAUUUACAA